rnacentral:ncRNA from 2 species
CAACGUUCUCAGGGCGGGGCGAAAUUCCCCACCGGCGGUAAUGACGCGCUGCGUCUAGCCCGCGAGCGCCUUUCCAGCGAAAGGGACAGCAGACCCGGUGCGAUUCCGGGGCCGACGGUAUAGUCCGGAUAAAGAGAGAGCGGGA